rnacentral:rRNA from 1 species
UACGGAAGGCAGCAGUGGGGAAUAUUGCACAAUGGGCGCAAGCCUGAUGCAGCCAUGCCGCGUGUAUGAAAAAGGCCUUCGGGUUGUAAAGUACUUUCAGUCGUGAGGAAGGUGUUAAGGUUAAUAACCUUAGCAAUUGACGUUAGCGACAGAAGAAGCACCGGCUAACUCCGUGCCAGCAGCCGCGGUAAUACGGAGGGUGCGAGCGUUAAUCGGAAUUACUGGGCGUAAAGGGCACGCAGGCGGUUAAUUAAGUUGGAUGUGAAAUCCCCGGGCUUAACCUGGGAAUGGCAUUCAAGACUGGUUAGCUAGAGUCUUGUAGAGGGGGUAGAAUUCCAUGUGUAGCGGUGAAAUGCGUAGAGAUGUGGAGGAAUACCGGUGGCGAAGGCGGCCCCUGGACAAAGACUGACGCUCAUGUGCGAAAGCGUGGGGAGCAAACAGGGAUUUAGAU